UGGGGAAUAUUGGACAAUGGGCGCAAGCCUGAUCCAGCCAUGCCGCGUGAGUGACGAAGGCCUUAGGGUUGUAAAGCUCUUUUGGCGGGGACGAUAAUGACGGUACCCGCAGAAUAAGCCCCGGCUAACUUCGUGCCAGCAGCCGCGGUAAUACGAAGGGGGCUAGCGUUGUUCGGAAUCACUGGGCGUAAAGCGCACGUAGGCGGAUUUGUAAGUCAGGGGUGAAAUCCCGGGGCUCAACCUCGGAACUGCCUUUGAUACUGCAAGUCUCGAGUUCGGGAGAGGUGAGUGGAAUUCCUAGUGUAGAGGUGAAAUUCGUAGAUAUUAGGAAGAACACCAGUGGCGAAGGCGGCUCACUGGUCCGGUACUGACGCUGAGGUGCGAAAGCGUGGGGAGCAAACAGGAUUAGAUACCCCAGUAGUCCCUGAGCGGGCUGGCAAGGCGCAU
rnacentral:rRNA from 1 species